GGGCAUUUGGCGAUAUGACACAUUUCAUCAAGUGGCUCUCGAGCGUCGCCGCCACCACUGGAUGGCACUGAAGUCCAGGCCCGUUUUCUAAUGAAACAAAUUGAUUAGCUUUAAGUGUGAGUCAGCCAUGACUUCACUUCUAGGCCCAGCUGAACCUCUUUUGCCCCCCAGCCACGAGGAAGUGAUGCAGCCGCGGGAUGACGCACGACGUCGCCCGCCAAAACGGAGACAGAUCGCGCACGAGGCACGUGGAAAUCCACCCGGCGCACGCUUCCCUUCUUGUGGUUGACUCGGAAUUCAGCAGCCCGGAGGUAUCGUCCCAACUGACAUGACGCCUUGCUGACCUACUGACAAGUGAGGCUUUGCCUAUUUUCCCAAGUACACUGCCCCAACGGCAAGUUUCUCGAAACAAGAUCAUUUCCUGAAAAACCAGUCAGCGGAAGACCAACGCCGAUGAAAACACAGAGACAGCGAUAGAACGGACCUUUGCGACCUGUCAAUCACUCGUACAGUAAUAGCCAAUCAGAUAGCCGCAUUGUCUUAACCCCCGGCUUGCACGCCCCCUCUCGCCGCAUUGUCCCACAAGCAAUGCCGGUAGUCAGUAGUGUGCGCCUGGAAAAGUUAAUGUUACGAAGAAAAUCGUCCUCAGGAACGUGCAAUUCUGACGAAAGACAUCCUGCUAGGUCACAAGCGGCCCGCUUGCCCGUUUGACUCAUUUCCCAAAGCCUAAAACGCACUGGACGAAGUGUCUAUGAUGGAUUAAGGCUCGCGGAAGAGCGCACGUACAACUAAACGUGGAUAAUAU